rnacentral:rRNA from 1 species
UACGUAGGGGGCUAGCGUUGUUCGGAAUCACUGGGCGUAAAGCGUACGUAGGCGGCUCGUUACGUCAGGGGUGAAAGCCUGGAGCUCAACUCCAGAACUGCCUUUGAUACUGGCGAUCUUGAGACCGGGAGAGGUGAGUGGAACUGCUAGUGUAGAGGUGAAAUUCGUAGAUAUUAGCAAGAACACCAGUGGCGAAGGCGGCUCACUGGCCCGGUACUGACGCUGAGGUACGAAAGCGUGGGGAGCAAACAGG